GAACGCUGGCGGCAGGCCUAACACAUGCAAGUCGAACGGUAACAGGAAGCAGCUUGCUGCUUUGCUGACGAGUGGCGGACGGGUGAGUAAUGUCUGGGAAACUGCCCGAUGGAGGGGGAUAACUACUGGAAACGGUAGCUAAUACCGCAUAACGUCGCAAGACCAAAGAGGGGGACCUUAGGGCCUCUUGCCAUCGGAUGUGCCCAGAUGGGAUUAGCUAGUAGGUGGGGUAACGGCUCACCUAGGCGACGAUCCCUAGCUGGUCUGAGAGGAUGACCAGCCACACUGGAACUGAGACACGGUCCAGACUCCUACGGGAGGCAGCAGUGGGGAAUAUUGCACAAUGGGCGCAAGCCUGAUGCAGCCAUGCCGCGUGUAUGAAGAAGGCCUUCGGGUUGUAAAGUACUUUCAGCGGGGAGGAAGGGAGUAAAGUUAAUACCUUUGCUCAUUGACGUUACCCGCAGAAGAAGCACCGGCUAACUCCGUGCCAGCAGCCGCGGUAAUACGGAGGGUGCAAGCGUUAAUCGGAAUUACUGGGCGUAAAGCGCACGCAGGCGGUUUGUUAAGUCAGAUGUGAAAUCCCCGGGCUCAACCUGGGAACUGCAUCUGAUACUGGCAAGCUUGAGUCUCGUAGAGGGGGGUAGAAUUCCAGGUGUAGCGGUGAAAUGCGUAGAGAUCUGGAGGAAUACCGGUGGCGAAGGCGGCCCCCUGGACGAAGACUGACGCUCAGGUGCGAAAGCGUGGGGAGCAAACAGGAUUAGAUACCCUGGUAGUCCACGCCGUAAACGAUGUCGACUUGGAGGUUGUGCCCUUGAGGCGUGGCUUCCGGAGCUAACGCGUUAAGUCGACCGCCUGGGGAGUACGGCCGCAAGGUUAAAACUCAAAUGAAUUGACGGGGGCCCGCACAAGCGGUGGAGCAUGUGGUUUAAUUCGAUGCAACGCGAAGAACCUUACCUGGUCUUGACAUCCACGGAAGUUUUCAGAGAUGAGAAUGUGCCUUCGGGAACCGUGAGACAGGUGCUGCAUGGCUGUCGUCAGCUCGUGUUGUGAAAUGUUGGGUUAAGUCCCGCAACGAGCGCAACCCUUAUCCUUUGUUGCCAGCGGUCCGGCCGGGAACUCAAAGGAGACUGCCAGUGAUAAACUGGAGGAAGGUGGGGAUGACGUCAAGUCAUCAUGGCCCUUACGACCAGGGCUACACACGUGCUACAAUGGCGCAUACAAAGAGAAGCGACCUCGCGAGAGCAAGCGGACCUCAUAAAGUGCGUCGUAGUCCGGAUUGGAGUCUGCAACUCGACUCCAUGAAGUCGGAAUCGCUAGUAAUCGUGGAUCAGAAUGCCACGGUGAAUACGUUCCCGGGCCUUGUACACACCGCCCGUCACACCAUGGGAGUGGGUUGCAAAAGAAGUAGGUAGCUUAACCUUCGGGAGGGCGCUUACCACUUUGUGAUUCAUGACUGGGGUGAAGUCGUAACAAGGUAACCGUAGGGGAACCUGCGGUUGGAUCACCUCCUUACCUUAAAGAAGC
rnacentral:rRNA from 1 species